CCCAAGGACUUUCUAAAGUCCCUUUAUAUGUAGAAAAAAACAGUUU
rfam:Tupaia chinensis contig224282, whole genome shotgun sequence.